GACGUGGGAGGCGAGCGUUAUCCGGAAUGAUUGGGCGUACAGCGCGCGUAGGCGGGCCGGGGAGUCGUGCGUGAAAGGUGGUGGCUCAACCCCCAGAGGCCGCACGAGACCCCCGGUCUUGGGCCCGGCAGGGGGCGGUGGAAUUCCACGAGGAGUGGUGAAAUGCGUUGAGACGUGGAGGAACACCGGUGGCGAAGGCGGCCGCCUGGGCCGUGGCCGACGCUGAGGCGCGAAAGCCAGGGGAGCGAACGGG
rnacentral:rRNA from 1 species